rnacentral:lncRNA from 1 species
UAAAGACUCCCAAUGUAUCUCAACUAAGCAAUAUUAACAUUUAGAGUCAGAAAACUCUUUGUUGAGAGGGAAUGUGCAGUGUCUUACAGUAUGCUUAGCUGCAACUCUAUGAUUCACCACUGGAUGCCUUUACCUAUCUCAGCAGAAAGGGCACCAAAAAUGUUUCCAGACAUUGCCAAAUGUAUCUGAAACCUUGACAUUGCUCCAAAAGAGAUCCACUAUGCAAUGAACCCCUAAAUAAUUUUGUUUAGAGAAAAAAAUCAAAAGUUGAUAAAAAUUUCAUAACUGUAUUUUAAAUAAAUAAUGAAUUUUGGACAAAACUUCAAAAUUUGGAAAAAUAAUAUAAUUACAAAUAUCAUCUUCCAUGAAUAUUUUCACAACCACUCCUGCCACCAGGCAUGUGGACACAAAGUAAAAUAUGCAUCGUUUUGCACACAGGAGAAUGUAUAGUAUACACACUCCUUUAAUCUCCUAUCACAUAGAUAUUAUGGAUAUUUUUAUGUCAGCAAAUAUUGGUGUAUUUAAAUAAUUAAUUUGAAUACCUACAUAAGAUUCCUUUGAAUGUAAUCAUUCAGGGUCCUAUCCUAGGCUAGGGAAGUUCAAAAUUUUUCACUACUAUAAAUAGUGUUAUAAUUGUUAGCAUCUUUGAAUAUACAUUUUGGAACAGCAUGAAUAUGACACUGAAUCUUACUCAAUGUUGGUGACAUAUCGAGACUAUUUCAAGGACAUAGAACUUUAUAGAAUGAACUAG